rnacentral:rRNA from 1 species
UACGGGGGGGGCAAGCGUUGUUCGGAAUUACUGGGCGCAAAGGGCUCGUAGGCGGCCAACUAAGUCAGACGUGAAAUCCCUCGGCUUAACCGGGGAACUGCAUCUGAUACUGGAUGGCUUGAGUUCGGGAGAGGGAUGCGGAAUUCCAGGUGUAGCGGUGAAAUGCGCAGAUAUCUGGAGGAACACCGGUGGCGAAGGCGGCAUCCUGGACCGACACUGACGCUGAGGAGCGAAAGCCAGGGGAGCAAACGGG